rnacentral:lncRNA from 1 species
AGGAGUCGGCGCCGGAGCCGGGGCUGGAGGGCGGCGGGAUCCACAGCGUCGAGCCGCUGGGGACGGGUUAGGAGCGCGCCCUGCGAGCCCGGCGCCUGCUCACCCAAGCCUCAGGCAUACCUCGGGGCAGGCCCGGUCCUUGGCCCCGUUUGCACAUGAAUAAACGAAGGCUCUGUUUGUUGAUGACCUGUCCAAGGCCACUCAGCCGAGGUUUGAAUCCAGGCCUGGCAGGCUCAGGAACCCGCCCUUACCCAGAUCCGACGCUGCCUCUCAGCGGUCACCGUCUGUCUUUUCGUUGAGCUAUUGGUGAAGUUUGCAUUCGUCUGCCUCAUGCGCCGCUUUAAUUUUUCUCCCGUUCCUCGUCCCAUCGAUCAGCAGAUCCUGCGGGCUCCACUUGCAGAAUCUCAUCCCUCACCUCCUCCGGCCCCAUCCCGCUCCAGCUCCAUCAGUGCUCCAUCAUCUCAGGGGUCUUGAACCAGCCUCCUCCUGGGCCUCCUUGCUUCUCUUUUUGCCCCCUACCGUCCAUUUCCACCUAGCUGCCGGAGAGUCCUGUUAAAAUGUAAAUCAAACCCAUGCCACUCCCCGACCCAAGUACUCCCAUCUCACUUAAAGCAAAAUCCGAGAUCUGUCCCAGGGCUCGCAAAUUGCCUCCCGAUCUCUGUCUUCGUAGCUGACUGCCCUGCCCCUGCCUCAUUCCACUCAAGUCCCAUUGACCUGCUGGGUCCUGGAGUAAGUCAGACACACUCCCGCCCUAAGGCCUUUGCACCUGCCAUAACCCAAACGUCUGCAUGGCUCCCUCCUUCCCUUUAUUUUGGUCUUUACCCAAAAAUCUUCCCUAGUUACUCCAUCUGAAAUUUCACAGACACACGUAUCCAGCAUUUCACAUCCGCUUUCCUGGCUUCAUUUUUUCUUCUCAGCAUCUAUUACUGUCUAACGGAGCAUGUUUUACUUAUUUAUGUUAUUCUGGGUCUGUUUUCCUCUCCUAGAGGGCAGGGACUUUGGUUUGUUUUGCUCACUGCUGUGUUCCUGGUGUCUAGAACAGUUCCAAACACAUAAUGGAGGCUCCAUAUGUUGAAUGAAGGAAUGAACCUCAGACCUUCAUCUGGGAUAAUUUUUCUUUUGCCGGAAACACAUCCCUUUAGACAAUGUUUCUUAACUUUGGCUGUACAUUUGAAUGGCCUGGGGAAGCCUUUUUUUUUUUUUUUUUUUUUUUUGAGAUGGAGUUUCACUCUUGUUGCCCAGGCUGGAGUGCAGUGGCGUGAUCAUGGCUCACUACAGCCUCCAACUCCUGGGCUCAGCUUCCCGAGUAGCUGCAAACCACGGGCACGUGCCACCACAGCUGGCUAAUUUUUGUAGAGACAGGGUUUGGUCAUGUUGCCCAGGCUGGUCUUGAACUCCUGGGCUCAAAUGAUCUGCCCACCUCGGCCUCCCAAAAUGCUGGGAAAUGGUUGCUGUUGAGAUAUCAUCACCUGUCAAUCUAACUGCUGUUCUUUUUAUAAACAGCUUUAUUGAGAUAUCAUCACCUGUCAAUCUAACUGCUGUUCUUUUUAUAAACAGCUUUAUUGAGAUAUAAUUUAUAUGCCAUAAAAUCCACCCACCUAAAAUAUACAAUUCAAUAGUUUUUAGUAACAUUUACAGAAUUGUACACCCAUCAUCACAAUCAAAUUUUAGGACAUUUUUGGCUGAGCAUGGUGGCUCACACCUACAAUCCCAGCACUUUGAGAGGCCGAGGUGGGCGGAUCACUUGAGGUCAGGAGUUCGAGACCAGCCUGGCCAACAUGGUGAAACCCUGUCUCUACUAAAAAUACAAAAAUUAGCCAGGUGUGGUGGCGGACAUCUGUAAUCCUAGCUACUGCAGAGCCUGAGGCAUGAGAAUGGCUUGAACCUGGGAGGCAGAGGUUGCAGUGAGCUGAGAUCGCACCGUUGUACUCCAGCCUGCGUGAUAGAGCGAGACUCUGUCUCAGACCAAAAAAAAAAAAAGAAAGAAAGAACAUUCUUAUCACCCCAAAAUAGACCUGUACUCAUUAGCAGACAUUCCCUGUUUCCCAUCCUCCAACUGACAGCACUAAUAUACUUUAUGUCUCUAUAGACUUUCCUCUUCUUGAUAUUUUAUAGAAAUUAGAUCUUACUGAUGGGCCACAGUGGCUCAUGCCAGUAAUCCCAGCACUUGGGGAGGCCAAGCCAGGUGGAUCGCUUGAGCCCAGGAAUUCAAGACCAGCCUGGGCAACAUGGUGAAACCCCAUCUCUACAAAAAAUACAAAAAUUAGCCGAGUGUGAUGGCGUGCACCUGUAGAGCAGUGAUCGUCCCACUGCACUCCAGCCUGGGUGACAGAGUGAGACCCUGUCUCAAAAAGAAAAUUAGAUUUUGACAAUAUGUGAACCUUUGUGACUGGCUUCUUUCACUUGGCAUAACUUUGGGGUUUUUCUUGACAUAACGUUUUUGAGGUUUAUCCAUGUUGUAGUACUGGUUUUUUGUUUGUUUUUUGUUGUUGUUGUUUUGGGGUUUUUUUGUUUUGUUUUGUUUUUUGUUUUUAGAAUCUCUGAUUCUUUUCCUCUGAGUGCUUUUAAGAGUUUUUUAAAAAAAAUCUUUGGCUUUUUGCACUUUUACUAUGAUGUGUCUAUGUGUAAAAUUUAUGGAGUUUCUUGAAUCUGUGAUUGGUGUCUGAUUUCUGUCUCACUAAUUCCCUCUUUAGCCAUAUCUAGUUUGCUGUUUAGCCCAUCUUUUAAAUUUAAUUUGUGUGUGUGUGUGUGUGUGUGUGUGUGUGUGACAGAGUUUCACUCUUGUUGCCCAGGCUGGAGUGCAAAUGGCACGAUCUUAGCUCACUGCAACCUCUGCCUCCCGGGUUCAGGUGAUUCUCCUGCCUCAGCCUCCUGAGUAGCUGGGAUUACAGGUGUCUGCCACCACUCCUGGCUAAUUUUUUGUAUUUUUAGUAGAGACAGGGUUUCACCAUGUUGGCCAGGCUGGUCUCGAACUCCUGACCUCAAGUGAUCCACCCACUUCGGCUUCCCAAAGUGCUGGGAUUACAGGUGUGAGCCACUGUGCCUGGCCUAAAAAUUUUGAUUAUUGUAUUAUUUUAUUUUAGAAGUUCUGUUAGGUUAUUUUAAAAUUUGUUGUCAUGUGAUAUAAUUUUCUAUACUUUGGCAAUGUUUCUAGGUUAUUUAUUUAUUUAAACGCAGUAAACUUUUUUUUUUUUUAGACAGAGUUUCGCUCUUGUUGCCCAGGCUGGAGUGAGAUGGUGCGAUCUCAGCUCACUGCAACCUCUCCCUCCCGGGUACAAGCGAUUCUCCUACCUCAGCCUCCUGAAGUACCUGGGAUUACAGGAGCCUGCCACCAGGCCCAGCUAAUUUUUUUGUAUUUUUAUUUGAGACGGGGUUUCCCCAUGUUGGUCAGGCUGGUCUUGAACUCUUGACCUCAGGUGAUCCAUGCGCCUUGGCCUCCCAAAGUGCUGGGAUUACAGGCAUGAGCCCCCGUGCCCGGCCAACAUUUUGUUUUAUAAUCUGCGUCUGAUAAUACUGAUAUACAAACUCUGGGCAUAUUUGUUUCUAUCUGUUUUCGCUCCUGUUGUCUUGUUUUCUCCUGAUGACCCUGCUGAUUUAUUAUGGUCAUGUACCAUCAGCCCUGAGUUACCUGCAUAUAUUUAUAUUGGGUGCAGCUAUAUUGUUUCAGGUUUUCUGGUCUCAGCCUUGGCCCUUCAGGGGAAGAGCUGGCAUUCAACUUGAACACCUUCACCUCAGUGGGUAGACUCUAGUCAUUCAAACUUGGGUUCCAAUCUCAGUGCUACAGUUCACUAUCUGUGUGACCCUGGACAAAGAUUCCCCCUAUCUGGGCCUCAGUUUCUUUCUCUGUUCAAUGGUAAUUAUGAUGGCUCCUCCCACAUAGGCUGUUGUGAGAAUCUGUACAAGUUAUUAAUUAUUGAUAUGUGGCAAAUUUCCCAAAAUUAAUUGCUUAAAAAAGCAAUCAACAUGUAUGCUAUCACAUAGUUUCUGUGGGUUAGGAACUGGGGAGCAGCUACAUAGAUGGUUCUGGCUCAGGGUCACUCAUGAGGUUGUAGUUAAGAUGUCGGCUGGGGCUGCAGUCAUCUGAAGGCUUGACUGGGGCUGGAGGAUUGACUCAAGAAAGCUCUUUUAUGUGCCUGGGUGGUGCUGGUUAUUUGCAGAAUGCCUACGAUCCUCACCACAUGUAAGUUUCCACAGGGGUAAUUGAGUGUCCUCGCAACAUGGCAGCUGGCUGUCCCCAGAGCAGAUGAUCCAGAAGAGCAAGGCAGAAGCCAUAACAUAUUUUAUGACCUAAUCUUAAAAGUCAUACUUUCUCAUUUCACAAUAUUGUAUUCAUUACACUGGUCA